rnacentral:sRNA from 1 species
ACAUAGCUAUGCGGUUCGUGAGAUCACUAUUCCUGGCGCCAUAGCAAUUCUAAAGGGAACUGACGCUGGUUUGGACCGUGGUCCAUUUCAUUUAGUACCCACCUAAAUAUUAGGAGCCGAGGAUUGCAGCAUCCACGACCGUGUGGCCUAUUA